GUUACUAAUUCGUGCUGUGAUGUACAUGGUGGCACAAUGCUUGGGUGCAAUGUGUGGUGUAGGGCUAGUAAAGGCCUUCCAAAGAUCUUACUAUGUGCAGUAUGGUGGUGGGGCAAACGAGAUCACC